GGGUGCUUGAAUCGUUUUGGUUCGAGCAUAGCCAAGAGCCAAAAAGACGAAAGCCCCGAAUUAGGAAUAUUCCUUAACUCGAGGCAGUCUACAAACGUUGCAAUUUGAUUCUGUCUCCUUUUACUCAAGGAGUCAAGAGAAAUGAGCAAAUU
rnacentral:antisense_RNA from 1 species